rnacentral:rRNA from 1 species
UACGUAGGGUGCAAGCGUUAAUCGGAAUUACUGGGCGUAAAGCGUGCGCAGGCGGUUCGCUAAGACAGAUGUGAAAUCCCCGGGCUUAACCUGGGAACUGCACUUGUGACUGGCGGGCUAGAGUAUGGCAGAGGGGGGUAGAAUUCCACGUGUAGCAGUGAAAUGCGUAGAGAUGUGGAGGAAUACCGAUGGCGAAGGCAGCCCCCUGGGCCAAUACUGACGCUCAUGCACGAAAGCGUGGGGAGCAAACAGG